rnacentral:rRNA from 1 species
CGAGAGAUUGGGGAGUGCUCGAAAGAGAACCAGUACACAGGUGCUGCAUGGCUGUCGUCAGCUCGUGUCGUGAGAUGUUGGGUUAAGUCCCGCAACGAGCGCAACCCUUGUCAUUAGUUGCUACGAAAGGGCACUCUAAUGAGACUGCCGGUGACAAACCGGAGGAAGGUGGGGAUGACGUCAAGUCCUCAUGGCCCUUAUGGGUAGGGCUUCACACGUCAUACAAUGGUACAUACAGAGCGCCGCCAACCCGCGAGGGGGAGCUAAUCGCAGAAAGUGUAUCGUAGUCCGGAUUGUAGUCUGCAACUCGACUGCAUGAAGUUGGAAUCGCUAGUAAUCGCGGAUCAGCAUGUCGCGGUGAAUACGUUCCCGGGUCUUGUACACACCGCCCGUCACACCAUGGGAGCGGGUUUUACCAGAAGUAGGUAGCUUAACCGUAAGGAGGGCGCUUACCACGGUAGGAUUCGUGACUGGGGUGAAGUCGUAACAAGGUAGCCGUAUCGGAAGGUGCGGCUGGAUCACCUCCUUUCUA